GCCUCUGUAGCUCAGUUGGUGAGCGCUGCACCGGAAUCGCAGUGCCGCAAGUUCGAUCCAUGCCAAAGGGC